AGGGCUACCCAGGGAAUUUUCAAAAACAGUGCUUCUUCUGAAAACUUUUUGAACCCUGAACCAACAACAACAAACAAGUCAAACUUGGACAGGUUCUUGACCAAAAUCCUGAUCAACCCUACAUUCAAGGGCCAUCGAGAUUUAUAACUCUUUCAUCUUGAAGUGCUGGGGAUCCCAUUUCCUGCAGCGUUAAGAAGUCCUCAAAAAACAUCGCAGAAAAAAAGAGAGUGCUAAAAAGCCCUUGAACAUUUGCCAGAAAAAAUGUACGUGGAUGACAAAAAUUGCUGGACCGAGCGUCAAUUGGAAAAACAUUUGUCUGGGAUACAUCCCGAUUCCCAGGCUGGCCCAGCGAGGACUUCUGAAACCGAAUACGCUGGAAGAUCAAAAACAAUGGGUUGGACUUAGACCCACGUUCGUUUCGUUGGUUCAUCCGGUUGAUCGCCAGAGAGGGGCCAAAAAUUUUGGAAAAAGCCGUUAUCUAUGCAUUGGUUUCAUUCUCAAGUCGGGGUAUCAAAUUGAGCAUGCACGUUGGAUAUUCUGGAUUUGAAAAAGUUGCCCAUUUUACUCAAUUCGCACCAAGGAAAAUGUUUGAUUCUCUUCAUUCAAUCUAUAUAAAAGUGGAAUGUCCAAAGCUCCUCGUUCUCGACUCAAGAGGUCUUUGAAUGUCCGCAAACACAACACACACCACAUCAAAAGAAGCGAGAGUGCCUGGUUGGUUCGUCUACCCUAUUCAAGAACAAAACGUUGUACCUGAUUAAUUUGAAACAAGCCAUGGGAUUGAUCAAGGACCAUUGGCCAAAAAAAAUCGUCUAACACCACGAGAUGGGCGUCACAAUUCCCGGAAAUAGCUCACCGGUUUGAAUAGUAAAACAACUGAAUGAAUGAAAACAAACCAAUAAUGCUCAAACGUUGGCAAAAUGAACGCUACAUUUGUCUGACGGCAAUUUGAUCGCAAUGUUGACCCAAUACCAAUUCAAAUGAAACCAUUUCGUUUGACUCAAAAGGCCCCUUAGCAUGAUACAAUUGGCCGCCAAAACUGACAGGCUCCCCUGUUAUGCCUGCCAACGAGAGGCGAAAAAUGGUUUCUCCUCACUGCAUGAACAUCAUCAAAUCAAUGUCAAGAUGUCCUGCACUCCUGAGUUCCUCACGUUCUCCACUUCAUCUUUCCUUGGGCAGACUGUUGCUCAGAUCCCAAGAGAGUUCGUUGUCUCAAGUUCUCGCUUGUCA